GAAGUAGGAGUGAAAGCUGCCCAGCUAGAUCCAGCGCGCGCCCGCCUCAUCCCUCUGGGUUCCUUAGCAGAUCUGAUGAAAAUUUCGGGCCUUCCCCUAACCUCUAGAACACUGCAGAAAGGCCCUCUAAUUUGUAUACAGUUUCAGGGAGGAUCUUGGGGCAGGUAGAAUGGCCCCAGGUUAUGGUCACAGCCUUACCCUAUCUGUACGGUGAGUCUUGUCAUCGGAAAAACAUCGAUUUCCCACGACCAAAGCGUGCUCAGGGAGAGGCGCAGUUGGGGCGCGCGGAUUUACUGAGAAUGGAGUCUUGAAGGGCUCGGCUGCUUGCGGAGGGCCAAUUGGGGACUUGGGAAGAAGCGCUAUAAGUAGGAGAAAGGCGCUCAGGGCCAAAGGCUUGUCCUUAGCUUGGACACGGCUCUGGCCCAAGACUCCAGAAUGCGAGCGCAAGGCUCCGAGGACACUCACAAACCACGGGGACAAGGUGGUGUCUGUCCAGAACGUGAACCUUAGGCUGCUCAAGCGGGACGGUGAGCCGUCGGGCUGCGCAGUCGGGAGGAGCGCGAGUGGAGUCAAACACAGGCCUAACACUGGAACCUUACAGCCCAUCAUCGAGCCCACACUCCCAGAGUCUGUGGCCUCCAGGCUAGGGCGAAGUAGUGCGGAGUCCGCACGGCGGUCCCGGAGUCUCGGAGCACUAGACACAGGCUUCCAAGCGCCGGCCGCCAGUAUCAGACCCCGGCCUCCGCGGCGCAAUCUCGCUUUGAGUUUCGAACCAGGGGCCACGCAAGGUUGUGAGAUUGUUCGCUUGGUUUCCGAAGAAAUGCCUCUUUACAAAUGUGGGGGGCUCUCAAGACCCAGGAACCUUUCGUACCCGCUGCCUCCCAACGACCCAACCGGGCUUCUGCCCCGACGGAUCUUCAGAUCAGGAUCAGUGGACUCUCUUCGGUCCCUCCUUACCACGGAUUUUGGCCAAUGUUACAAUUAUUGCCCUCAAAUAACCUAGCUUGGGGGCCCACCUUGCCUCUGAAGAUUUUUUUUUUGUGGGGGGAGUGGGAAAGGAUGCCUAUCGCUAAGGCGGUGACGUCUGGCAAACGAGCCACAUCCGAUUCAAUUAAACGUCUAGCUGAAAAGACCUCGGAGCGCGGGGGUCCUGGGAGCUCUGUUAAGUGAAUGGGCUGGCCGGGCGGCUCGCGAUGACAGUUUGAAAGAUUAGUGUGAGCCGACGCCUGAAAUAUUACCGUUUAAUGGGGGACAUCGAGGCUGCAUCCGGGAUCUCUGUUUGUAGUUGUGCCUUGGCGUUGCGGGAGAGCGGAAACCCGGCCAAAAACGGAUAAAUACGUGCAAAAUCGAAAUUGGGGCGACCUAUGCUGUUCCCGCAGAGAAAUGUCCAAGAGUAAUUUCUAACUUUUCUUUGCAGUCCUCACUGAACAAAGCUAAAGAGUGGAGAAAAAUUUGGCGGCCUACAUGACAGCUCCAGAGAGCAGAACCCCAGGACUGGAGUGGGGAGACACUGGCAUCCUGCUGUAUACCCAGAAUGUCUCUUGCAAGUACUGAAACACACGGUGGCAAUCAGCUAAAGAAAUCUGUUAACAGGCCUUAAAACCUUGAGAAAGGCAGAACUAGGAAGAGAGAAAAGUGAAAGGAAACUAAAAGAAAGACAAGACCUCAGGCGACAGAAAUGGAAAGGAACAAAGCAUGAUUUCUAGAACAGAAAACACGAGUUCAGACAGCAGAGGAGACUAGGACAAGAAGCUCCUGCUUUCCAGACUCUCUCCGAUGGGACAGCUUUCAGACAUGUGUGCACUGACCAGUGAAGACCUCUGGUUCGACAGAGAAAAAUGGAAGCUUCAGUCUCCAGCUGUUCCCCAAAGAACCGAAAGACUGUCUGCUUUGUACAGAGGUACCACCGCUGCAGCCUGUGACUCUGAGGUGCAAACUUGGCCAGCCCGGAGUGGUAAUUUUAGGGGGGAGUUUUAUUUUAAACCCCACACUGGCAGUUGGGUCAGAUUUUUAUGUGAUGAUUUUGUGUUCUGCAUAUGAGGAAGUACUGCUCAUUGGCUGCUAUGAAUUGCCCCAAACAUCUCUCUCCAGAAUAAACUUGUGCUUUGCAGCCGAAAUGAAACAUACUGGGGCCACACUCAGAACAGAAUGUCCAUGGCUUGGCGUGGUGGUCCGUGGUGAGCUGCUGACAUGAACCCUGGAGUGGGAACCGCCACACUGCAUAGCUGGAGCUCUCUAUGGAAGGCAGGAGCCUUCGGGACACGGAGCUUAAGGGCUGUGAUGAGUGGCAGGCUGUGAACAUUUUGGCGGGAUGCAAAUGCACUGGACUAUUUUUAAAGGAGGCACGUACUCUUGUGCAGCAUUUGAUGAGUGGUGGUGGCAGGCCAGUUUUGGCACAGAAAGGGAGGAAAAAUAGCCACAAUUCAGAUCUUCUAGCCAGAGCAGUUUAGAAUGUAUCUCCAUGGAAAAUGGAAAUUGUUUGGGAAUCUGCUCAGGAAACACAGGCAGGUAGGAAACCUGACCGCCGCUAUUGACUGAAGGACACUGGCUGUGUUGUCUGACCUUUCAGGAUGGCAGUGUCCUUUUUUGAUAAAAUGAGGAGGUUAGGCCAUUAGGGAAGCUUUCAGGGCCUUUCAGAUUUUUAAAUCUGGUGAGUCUCUGGGAAAGGUAAAUAGGAAUUUUCUGAGAUUGUUUUGCUCAGUGUAUUGGGCAAGGUUAGUCUGGUGCAAGUUAUGGAAACAUUCUGGGAACUUAUCAGUAGGACACUGAGUGCACUCACAGGAUCAAAAGAGAAGCUGAGUGCCUGAGUCACACAAAGGAGGGGAAGCAGGACAAUGCUGGGGGUGUGGGUAGUGGACCUGAAAUGUCGUCUCCUGGGGCUUUACUGACAAGUCUACCAAGUCUAACAUUUUUUGGUCUUGUAUGAUUCUACCGUAGCUUUAGAGUUCCUGGGUGAGAGAGGGUCUGAUUGACCUAUCUUGGGUCCAGUACCAACUCCUUGGCAAGGGAACACGGGAUGCCUGGAUUGACAGGCCCACCAAUGCUGUAUGCAAUGGGUGUGUGUGUGGUAGUGGGGCUGAGGGUGUGUGUAGGAGGUGGGAGGGAAGAAUAAUUUCCCAAAGGACAAGUGUGUUGUUAUCAAAAAGAAAAAAAAGAUAAAAAGGAGGCAUAGAUACUGCAUGCACUAAAAUAACAGAUUUUCAGUACUCAGACAUAAUGAAUAAAAGGGAGAAAGUUUGGACCAUCACAGUGUCUAUUUUUAAGGUCAUAAUGAGCACAGCUAUUAGUCUUCUCAGUGCAGUCCUAUCAAACGUUUGCUUAAAUGUUCUAGUCAGUUGAGUAGAGACGAGCAUUUCUACAUGUGGUCUGUGAUCUGGCCAGGAUUCUGGCUAUUUCAGCCACUUGUCCAGUCCAUUGAUGAGUAGAAUUGAAUGUACAGGAUUAAAUGAAGCUGAAAUGAGUGGAAUGAUGGUAUUAGGUCUGUCUUUUUUUUUUUCUCUCUCUCUUCCCAUUCAGCUUUGAUUUUGAGGAAUUAAAAAGUUUUACAAAACUACAAACAAUUUAACAAAGAUUCCUUGGUGGUUAUAAAAAAAGUCAUUUCACUAGAUUGGUUUCCCACAGU